rnacentral:piRNA from 1 species
CGUUUUAAAGAAAGGACUCUGGGG